GUGGUUAGUAAAGGCCUAUCUGAGGAGGUGACAUGUGUGCAGAGACCUGAGUUACAGGGAGGAAACAGACGUGAGAAGAUGUGGGGAGCAGUGUCGAAGGCAGAGGGAACAGCCAUUGCAAAGCCCUGAGGUGGGAGGAAGCUGUGCCCCAGAACAGAGAGGAGUCCCGUGAGUCUGCAGGUGAGGGGGGUGGGUGCUGUGAGAUGAAUGGGGGCCUGCGGGAGCACAGAGGCCUGUGUCCCAGGGGAAGCUGUGUGGAUUUUCUUCUGUUUCUUUUUUAAACAAUAUUUAUUUGUUGGGGAGAGUUAUUUGUUUAUGAAUUUAUUUAUUUUGGUGGAAGGACUGGGGACUGAGCCCAGGACCUUGUGCAUGCUAAGCACACGCUCUACCCCUGAGCUGUACCCUCCCCCCAGAUUUUAUUCUUAGAACCAAGAGGAGCCAUGGAGGGCUGCUUGGGGAGGGGCAGGGCAGGCUCUGAGUCGAGCUGCUGAGUGGAGACUGGGCUGGGGCAGAGGGAGGCGGCAGGGAGGGGCUGCUGCGAGGGCCCAGUGAGCGGAGGGGGGGAGCAGCCCUGGGGCCUGGACUGGGGUGUGGAGGAGAGAUCAGACACAGGGUGGGUUCUGGCCACACCGCUGACAGUCUGGAUGUGAGGCGAGGGGGCGCUGCGGAGAUGACCCCAGGCUUUGGGCCUGCGCACCCGCAGGUGGCGGCAGCCAUCAGCUGCCACGGGGAACAGCUGCGGGGCGCAGGUGGGGCGCUCAGGGCGGGCUGUGGAGGCCGGAGGUAGGCCAGCCGUCUUGGUGGAACUGCCCAGGAGGCCGCGGGCUCCCAGGUCUGGGUCCUGGGGGCCAGGCCGGCCGUGAAGAGACCAGGGUGAAGUCGCCACCCACAACCCUUCUCCAGCGGGGAGCAGCAGGCACAAACCCCGUGCCUGACUGUCAGUCUCCCUCCUUGAAGCUGACACCUGUGGACACAUGUUCUCUGUGUAAAUACGUGGCCUCCUGCCUUUUCGCCGUUUCUCGUUCCUUCCUGAGCAUCUUCACCCAAACCACACGUUUAGGGGCCAUCGUCUCAUGUGCUGUCCCUGGGCAGGCAGGCUAGGUUGACUCUGUGCUGCAAACCCUCGCCCAGUCUCCACUGCCCCCCGGCUUCGUUUUUCUCCACACGCUGUCUCCAUCUGACACUGUCUUACUUACUUAUCUGGCGUGCGGCCCAUAGUGGCCCCCGGGACAUCACAGUGUGAGCAGUGACGUGUCUGUUUUCUCUGCUGCAUCGUCAGUGCCUCGACCCGACGGGCACUCUGCACACCCCUACGUCCUCGUGGAAGAACGCAGAUCCCACACAGAAGUGAUACCCUGUGGCAUUUGUCUCUCUCUGUCUGACUUACUUCACUGAGUGUGAUCACCUCUGGGUCCAACCCAGGCCGUCACGUCUUACCUACCAGACUGCAGCCUCUGCUCCUGCUCCUGUCCCCUCUGUUAUCUUUUCAAAAGGCGGUGGUAGCAGUGUGGCAAUUGUGGAACAGGUGUGCAAGUAUCCUGGGAAAGGGUGUAAAUAACACAGCAACGCUGUUUGGAACUGCAGUUUCCUCCAGGCACCUGCAAGGAGAACGUGAGGAAGAGCCCCAGGGUGUCGGACAGGAACUGGGCCGAUCAUUGUGACGUCAGACUGGACUGUUUCAGCUCAUCCAGGACUUCUGCCCCCACCCUGGAACAGCCCUCCCUGCAGGAUGGAGGAUGGUGCGUAGAAACCAGGGUCCCAGUGUGACGUGUGCCUGUCACUGUGGGGGUGUCCUUGCUUCCAGACCCUCUCCCUAGACAGAGGCAGGAAGAAAUUUAUAAAUAUAAAAAUGAACAUAUAUAUAUAUAUAUAA